UACUAAUCUAGCAGAUUAAUUUAUCAUUAAUAGACUUCUACUUAAAGAAACAUCUAUUUUAUAGAGUAAAGGUGAACGACUUUUUAUAGGUUUACAUCUGCCAAAGUACCGUGAGGGAACUAUUAAAAUUAAUUACCACCUAGUAACGUUUAAGACGUGCACCUUUUGUAUCAUGGUUUAACUAGAUUUAUAACCUGAAAUAUAAGGCCUCUCGAAAUCCAAUGUGCUACCUUGCUUAAUUGUUAUUAGCAAUAUCUAAAGUAAUUGUGGCAAAAAUUUUUUAAUAAAGCAAGGAAGAAAUGAAAUUUUAUUCGUAUUGGAUGAUAGCUAGUUUCUCCUAAAAGGCAUAUAAGUGCCAGAAUUUAGUAAAUAGAUUAAGACUUCAUCUUAAUAUAUCUCUAUAUUCUUUAGAUUUUUGAGGAUAAGCUCAAAAAUAACUCCAUAAUAUCUUUUCUUAAUUUAAAUUUAAGCUUGGAAAUAGCUACAAUUUUAAAAUUUGUUAUAAUUUAUAAAGCAAAUAAAGAAAUGAUUAAUCUAUUUUUAGCGUAAGGAGCCCUAGCCUUAUACACCUUAAGGCUAGUUUUUAUGUUAAAAUGAGUACUAUUAAUAUAUAAAAAUUUAAUCUUUUACUAAUUAAAACUUAACUUGUUUAUCAAUAAAUUAAUUUCUGUAAAGGAACUCGGCAAAACUUAGCCCUGCCUGUUUAUCAAAAACAUGGCUCUCUGAGAAACUCACAUAGAGAGUCGGACCUGCCCAGUGAUACAUUUAGUAUUCAACGGCCGCGGUACUCUGACCGUGCAAAGGUAGCAUAAUCAUUUGCCCUAUAAUUGAGGGCUAGUAUGAAAGGUUUGACAAGGGCAACCCUGUCUCUACAAAAAUCGCUGGAAUUUAUUUUCUAAGUGAAGAAACUUAGAUAAAAUUAAAAGACAAGAAGACCCUAUCGAGCUUAAAAGUCAUUUAUGAUAUAAAGAAAGUGAUACACACAUUUCUUUUCAUAAAAAAUUUUGGUUGGGGCGACUAAGGAACAAUUAAAGCUUCUUUUAUCUAUAAAAAUGUCUAAAUCUGGAUCCGUACCUAUUACGAUUAAAAGAAUUAGUUACCGUAGGGAUAACAGCAUAAUCUUUUUUGAGAGUUCUCAUCGAAAAAAAGGUUUGUGACCUCGAUGUUGGACUAGAAUAUCCUGAUAGGUGCAGAAGCCUUCGAGGGUUGGUCUGUUCGACCAUUAAAAUUCUACAUGAUCUGAGUUCAGACCGGCGCGAGCCAGGUCAGUUUCUAUCUUUAAUUACAAAUUUAAGUCUAGUACGAAAGGACCGAUUUAAAAUAACCCAUUAUAUUAUGCAGAAAAAAUCUAAUUAUCUUAUGAAUAUUAUACUUACAAUUACAC
rnacentral:rRNA from 1 species